CCUACGGGUGGCAGCAGUGAGGAAUAUUGGUCAAUGGUCGGGAGACUGAACCAGCCAAGCCGCGUGAGGGAGGAAGGUUCUAUGGAUCGUAAACCUCUUUUAUCAGGGAAUAAAGUGUGGGACGUGUCCUAUUUUGUAUGUACCUUAUGAAUAAGGAUCGGCUAACUCCGUGCCAGCAGCCGCGGUAAUACGGAGGAUCCGAGCGUUAUCCGGAUUUAUUGGGUUUAAAGGGUGCGUAGGCGGCCUUUUAAGUCAGCGGUGAAAGUCUGUGGCUCAACCAUAGAAUUGCCGUUGAAACUGGCGGUCUUGAGUAUGAUUGAGGCAGGCGGAAUGCGUGGUGUAGCGGUGAAAUGCUUAGAUAUCGCGCAGAACCCCGAUUGCGAAGGCAGCCUGCCAGGCCAUGACUGACGCUGAUGCACGAAAGCGUGGGGAUCAAACAGGAUUAGAUACCCCAGUAUUC
rnacentral:rRNA from 1 species